rnacentral:rRNA from 1 species
CCUACGGGGCGCAGCAGUGAGGAAUAUUGGUCAAUGGACGAAAGUCUGAACCAGCCAAGUAGCGUGAAGGAUGACGGCCCUAUGGGUUGUAAACUUCUUUUAUAAAAGAAUAAAACGAGGUACGUGUGUCUUUCUGAAUGUACCUUACAAAUAAGGAUCGGCUAACUCCGUGCCAGAAGCCGCGGUAAUACGGAGGAUCCAAGCGUUAUCCGGAUUUAUUGGGUUUAAAGGGAGCGUAGACGGGUUGUUAAGUCAGUGGUGAAAGUUUGCGGCUCAACUGCGAAAUUGCAAUUGAUACUGGCAGGCUUGAGUGUAGUUGCGGUAGGCGGAAUUCGUGGUGUAGCGGUGAAAUGCUUAGAGAUCACGAAGAACACCGAUUGCGAAGGCAGCUUACUAAGCUGUGACUGACAUUGAUGCUCGAAAGUGUGGGUAGCAAACAGGAUUAGAUACCCUGGUAGUC